rnacentral:rRNA from 1 species
CCUACGGGGGGCAGCAGUGAGGAAUAUUGGUCAAUGGACGAGAGUCUGAACCAGCCAAGUAGCGUGAAGGAUGACUGCCCUAUGGGUUGUAAACUUCUUUUAUAUGGGAAUAAAAUGUUCCACGUGUGGGAUUUUGUAUGUACCAUAUGAAUAAGGAUCGGCUAACUCCGUGCCAGCAGCCGCGGUAAUACGGAGGAUCCGAGCGUUAUCCGGAUUUAUUGGGUUUAAAGGGAGCGUAGGUGGAUUGUUAAGUCAGUUGUGAAAGUUUGCGGCUGAACCGUAAAAUUGCAGUUGAAACUGGCAGUCUUGAGUACAGUAGAGGUGGGCGGAAUUCGUGGUGUAGCGGUGAAAUGCUUAGAUAUCACGAAGAACUCCGAUUGCGAAGGCAGUUCACUGGACUGCAACUGACACUGAGGCUCGAAAGUGUGGGUAUCAAACAGGAUUAGAUACCCCAGUAGUC